rnacentral:rRNA from 1 species
UGGGGAAUUUUGGACAAUGGGCGAAAGCCUGAUCCAGCAAUGCCGCGUGUGUGAAGAAGGCCUUCGGGUUGUAAAGCACUUUUGUCCGGAAAGAAAUCCUUGGCUCUAAUACAGUCGGGGGAUGACGGUACCGGAAGAAUAAGCACCGGCUAACUACGUGCCAGCAGCCGCGGUAAUACGUAGGGUGCAAGCGUUAAUCGGAAUUACUGGGCGUAAAGCGUGCGCAGGCGGUUUGCUAAGACCGAUGUGAAAUCCCCGGGCUCAACCUGGGAACUGCAUUGGUGACUGGCAGGCUAGAGUAUGGCAGAGGGGGGUAGAAUUCCACGUGUAGCAGUGAAAUGCGUAGAGAUGUGGAGGAAUACCGAUGGCGAAGGCAGCCCCCUGGGCCAAUACUGACGCUCAUGCACGAAAGCGUGGGGAGCAAACAGGAUUAGAUACCCUGGUAGUCCACGCCCUAAAACGAGGUCAACUAGUUGUUGGGGAUUCAUUUCCUUAGUAACGUAGCUAACGCGUGAAGUUGACCGCCUGGGGAGUACGGUCGCAAGAUUAAAACUAAAUGAAUUGACGGGGUCAUAGCUGUUUCCU